CAAGGAAUAGUUUAAUAAAAUAUUAAUUUUGGAGAUUAGAGAUAAGAAGUUUUCUUUUCCUUGA
rnacentral:tRNA from 1 species